GGAGAUAUAGUUCAAUGGUAGAACAAUAGAACUUUAAUCUAUAGGAGUAGGUUCGAUUCCUACUAUCUCCU
rnacentral:tRNA from 1 species